rnacentral:lncRNA from 1 species
GUAAGUCUUGCCUGUGGAGUCAGCAUCUCCCCAAGGCAGUUCUUAAUAAUAAGAAUAAACACAAUGCUUUGAUGUUUUAACCUAUCUCCCACUUCCCAGUCUACCGGAAUCCUUACAACAGUCUCUGCAAGGGGAGGAGACAAAGUACAAAUUAUUACUUAUUUCCAAACAUAGACCAGGAAACUGAAACAGAAAAGGGGUGUGUGGAGAUGAAAAAGCACAGGAUGCAGAAUCAGAAGACCCUGUUUAAGACCUGGUUUCCUCGCUCACCUGCUGUGCUGCUGUUGAAAAAGACACCUAGUUCCUCUGAAUCCCUCCUCGUAGGGAAAAUGUCUCCGUAAAUAUAAAUAAAAUAAAGUUUUCCCAUUUAAAAAUGGGGAUGAUAAUAAAUGCUUAACUUCCA